rnacentral:pre_miRNA from 1 species
AGUGAAAUAACUGGGUCAAAUGAUGGUUUCAUUCCAAAUUUUCUAAGAACUCUCUAUACUGCUUUCUAUAGUGGUUGCACCAGUUUGCAGUCCCACCAGCAAU